rnacentral:rRNA from 1 species
CGAUUUGUCUGGUUAAUUCCGUUAACGAACGAGACAACAGCCUACUAAAUAGUACGUGUUAUGGUAACAUAGUAUGAGACUUCUUAGAGGGACAUUUCGGGUUUACCGAAAGGAGGUUUGUGGCAAUAACAGGUCUGUCAUGCCCUUAGAUGUUCUGGACCGCACGCGCGCUACACUGACGACUUCAACAAGUUUUUUGGCAUUGCCAAAUUUCCUGGGCCGGAAGGUCUGGGUAAUCUUUUAAAAGGUCGUCGUGAUGGGGCUAGAUUCUUGCAAUUAUUAAUCUCCAACGAGGAACC